rnacentral:rRNA from 1 species
AUUGAACGCUGGCGGCAGGCUUAACACAUGCAAGUCGAGCGGAGAUGAGGUGCUUGCACCUUAUCUUAGCGGCGGACGGGUGAGUAAUGCUUAGGAAUCUGCCUAUUAGUGGGGGACAACAUUCCGAAAGGAAUGCUAAUACCGCAUACGCCCUACGGGGGAAAGCAGGGGAUCUUCGGACCUUGCGCUAAUAGAUGAGCCUAAGUCGGAUUAGCUAGUUGGUGGGGUAAAGGCCUACCAAGGCGACGAUCUGUAGCGGGUCUGAGAGGAUGACCCGCCACACUGGGACUGAGACACGGCCCAGACCCCUACGGGAGGCAGCAGUGGGGAAUAUUGGACAAUGGGCGGAAGCCUGAUCCAGCCAUGCCGCGUGUGUGAAGAAGGCCUUUUGGUUGUAAAGCACUUUAAGCGAGGAGGAGGCUACCUGGAUUAAUACUCUAGGAUAGUGGACGUUACUCGCAGAAUAGGCACCGGCUAACUCUGUGCCAGCAGCCGCCGUAACAC